rnacentral:rRNA from 1 species
UGGGCAACCUGCCCCAGACACAGGGAUAACCCCCGGGGAAACCGGGGCUAAUACCGGAUACUCCGGUCGAACCGCAUGGCUCGAUCGGGAAAGCUCCGACGGUCUGGGAUGGGCCCGCGGCCUAUCAGCUUGUUGGUGGGGUAACGGGCUACCAAGGCGACGACGGGUAGCUGGUCUGAGAGGGUGACCGGCCACACUGGGACUGAGACACGGCCCAGACCUCCGUACGGGAG